UACAGAGGUGGCAAGCGUUGUUCGGAAUUACUGGGCGUAAAGCGCGCGUAGGCGGCUUUGCAAGUCGGGUGUGAAAUCCCCAGGCUUAACCUGGGAACUGCAUUCGAGACUGCAUUGCUAGAGUAUGGGAGAGGGAAGUGGAAUUUCCGGUGUAGCGGUGAAAUGCGUAGAUAUCGGAAGGAACAUCAGUGGCGAAAGCGACUUCCUGGACCAAUACUGACGCUCAUGUGCGAAAGCGUGGG
rnacentral:rRNA from 1 species